UGUUUCGCAUUUUAAGAUAUCUGAAAUCUACUCCUAGGAGAAAACUUCUUUUCUCAAAGCAUGGACACUUCAAAUAAAGGCCUUUAUAGAUGUAGAUUGGAUUAGAUCUCUUGAUGAUAGAAGGUUAACAAUGGGUUAUUGUAAUUUUGUCUUGGUCAUUUUGAAAAGUAAGAAACAAAGUAUGAUUACUAGAUCUAGUAUAGAGGCUGAAUACAGAGCCAUGACUCAAAGUGUGUGUGAAUUGUUAUGGUUACGAAAAUUAAUAGAAGAACUGAUACUAUCAUAAACAAAUAGUUUAUAAUUAUUUUGUGAUAACAAAGUUGUUAUUAGUAUUGUCCACAAUCCAGUUCAGCAUAAUCAAAUCAAGCACAUAGAAAUUGAUCGGCACUUCAUAAAGGAG
rnacentral:misc_RNA from 1 species